rnacentral:sRNA from 1 species
UCCCAGCAGCCACACUUUAUAUUUUCUUCUUUUUCCCCUUUUUAAUUCUCAACGGCUAUGCACGAUACGACGUCGUUGCCCAAACUGCAAUAUAUCAGCGCGUUCCUUUUCCUCAAUGCACAACACAAACAGCACCUCUUCACACUCUCGGAAGGCUUCGUCACUGACCGAGUAAUCGACUCCAAAAACUGUGAUGGAUGAUCAGGACCUGGGCUUCUUUGCCAAUUUUCUCGGCAUCUUCAUAUUUCUACUGGUAAUAGCGUAUCAUUUUGUGAUGGCCGACCCAAAAUAUGAAGGCAACUAAUGAUCUGUUUCUUUUUUAUGUAUUUGCAAUGGAUAUGCAAUUUUCUCGCAACUAAUGGGGUUACGCUAUUAAUUUUGUAGCGUGAACUAUUUCAGAAUGCAUACAACUUGAUUUAGUGAAAAGUUUUGGUAUACAAUAUGACUGUGCUGUUAUACACAUGAUUUUCUUUCUCUAGUUUAUCAGUGCUUCAUAUUUAGUUUUCCACGCCUUUGCAGUGUUAAGGGUGUGGACUGUGUUCGGACUGUGUUUUGAAGGUUACCAUUGGCUGUGGUAGCGAAUCAAGUGAUCCGUUGUUCAUAGAAAGUGCGAAAAGCACAUUUUAGGGUUCACGGAAAAGAACAUUCCUUUUGGUGAAUAUUCAGAAAGAUAUAGGGAAAUUACAAUGUGUACUGAGGUCAAUGGAAUAUUGAAAAAUCUAAUGGCAUUUGCCAAUCUGUUAGAUGUAUUGUCAAAGCUAACCAUCUCUCAUAUGAGCUAUGUAUGUGCAUUAAAUUUGACUAGUUUUCUCACAUCUUUCUUCAU